UCGAAAAAUCGUGUUUUUCUUUAAACAAAUUUUAUCUAAAAUCAAUAAUUUCUCAAUCAAUAUUAAUAAGAACUACAUGUGCAUGGAUUGCCAGUUGGAUUGAUGUUUGUUUUAUGAAGAAAUUUCUCUCAAGUAAGAUAUCCACUCGAGAAAGGUUAUUGCAGCUUGCAGCAACAUCAUGUUUUAUCAAGUAUUGAACCACACAAAGGAUUAAAUCUUCAUUACAAUAUCAUUCAUAACUCCAUUUAAAUCAAUGGAAACUUAAUAUGGAUCGUUUCAUGGAGUAACAACAUACUUUGGAGUUUGGACCCAAAAUACAAUACACGUUAAUAUCGAACUUAUAAGGUGUUAAGCUGCAAUUACAAUAAAAGUGCUUGCUAUGGAAUCACCGGUGCUGAUCAUUAUUGUCUACUGUUACUUAAAAUCCAGAUGAACCAACCUUUACUUCCUAUUCAAAUAAGUUUAGAAGAAACCUAUAUAAGCAAUAAAACCAGACCAAGAAUGCUUGAUUACAAACGAUGAACUCAUUUCAUUUGCAAGUUAUGCCAUGACAUAAAUGCAUUAAAUUAGGAAGAUUUGUAUUAGAUGAAUAUUAACUUCUGUUGAUAAGAACAUUUGGUAAGUACCUUUAAAAUUUAAAACACCCUCAAAAUGAUUCUAACACUAUCCUCUGACGAUUUUCGACUAGGAUCAAAUAUAAGUUAAUCCCAUCAAAAACAAUACUUGUCAAAAAAACCAAGUCUCGCAACUCAGCUGUUCUACGGUAAAAAGUUGUGAGAUCCAUGUAAUACCAAGUCCAGGCCAGGAAAUCUUUAACGUUUUACAUAAAUUAUUGACUUGGCCAUCGCACUAAAUAAUUUAAUUUACACGUGUUUUCAUGCGAUGGCCAAGUCAAUAUAUUUAUGUAAAACAUUAAAGAUUUCCUGGCCUGGACUUGGUAUUACAUGGAUCUCACAACUUUUUACCGUAGAACAGCUGAGUUGCGAGACUUGGUUUUUUUGACAAGUAUUGUUUUUGAUGGGAUCUCAUUUCUUUUUGUAUUUUGUAGACAGCAGUUAUGUAUCUAGAAAACUGGACCGAAAGUGAAAAAUUUUACUCGACUUGGCGGUUGCACUACCGUGCCCCCAAAUCUCAUUUCUUUUUGUAUUUUGUAGACAGCAGUUAUGUAUCUAGAAAACUGGACCGAAAUUGAAAAAUUUUACUCGACUUGCCGGUUGCACUACCGUGCUCCUAAAUAUUUUAGUUUUUCCUUGAUUCAUACACCAAACACUACUUAUAUUCCAAAUUUGAAGCUUCUAGGUCUGCUAGAAGUGCCUUAGAAUUUUGAUGAUCGGUGAGUCAGUCAGUGAGUCAGUCAGUGAGUGACAAAAUUAAGUAACUUUGACCCGUUAUAAUUCUUAAACUACUGGUUCAAAUUGAAUGAAAUUUUAAAUAUACCGUGUCUUUACAAUGCCUGCAUAGCUAAUGAAAAUUCAGCCUUCUAGUUUUAUCCACAACGAAGUUACAGGCGGUCGAAAAUGGCCUGAAUUGCUUCGAGAAAAGGAUGGUACGGCCGUGCCGCUUUUUUGCUCGACUUGGUGGGGGCACUGCCGUGCCCCCAGAUUAUUUAAUUACAGAUUGGUGGAAUCCAGAUUCUGUGAAUGUACAUGUAAUUGAUUGACAAGUACACAUUUGACAAGGUGGUGAGAAACGUGUAGAUCUGGCCUGCUUACAGUGGCUAUUGGAUUGGACAGAACCAAGUGAGAGUGAACGUGUGAAUUUAUGGAGAACAUUAAAAACUAUUUUACUAUAAGUCAUAACGCAACUUAUUUUGUAUGAGUUACAUACAAAUGUCAAGCCGUGAGUACAUUAUGUAAAAACUAAAACAAUGUACCUACUGUAAUCACAACAGUAACUGUAAUCUUUUAAAAUCCAAUAGUUUUAAUGCUUAUUGAUUUUCGUAAACAAAAUAUUUCAUGUUAUAUUUCAUCAAUAAAGUUUCAUUUGAUA